CUGUUUGACUCUUGAAGGAAACAUGUCCUGGAAGUCUUUGACGAGGGUGGGCCAGGAUGCAGGAAGCUAGAAACAGGCUUCCCUUGCAGGACUACCAAGUGUGGCUCCAGCUCCUCCCAGCUACGCCCCAGCCAGCAGUGCUGGGACAGGGUUCCAGGCUGCCCCUCCACCAUCCCUCUGGCCUUUGCCAGGAAGCAGGAACUUACUGCUGCCAGAUAGGCCUGAACCCAGGAACUUGGGCGUGUUCCAGAGCCAAUGUGGGGGCCGGAGCACAGUGGGGAGGGCACUUGCCUUGCACAUGCCCACCUGGCUUCGAUCCUCUAACCCACUCCCACAGGGCACCUGCCCGGAGCUGUGUCCAAGGCCUUGGGUCAUGCCUGGGGCUGGAACAAUAGAUGCCAGGUCAAGCCACUCAGUAGUGGGUGGAGGCCACGUGGAGGGUCCCUUUGGUUCAGUUUCUGUGCCAAGUUCUUGCCCUAAGACCCUGGUGCCAGUAGCCUCAGGUACCCUCACCUUUGCAACUGCAGGUUCUGAACAGUGUCCCAGGAACACUAUAGGGAAGAGCCCUUGGAGGCUCUGAGGGGCACUGAAAAUUCAGCAAGGUCUGGUUCUUGACUGUACCCUCAAAACCAGACCCGCCACACUGCAGUUCCUGGCACUGUCCUCUCACUGAAGAGCUCAUUUCUCAUUUCUGUUAAUUCUUAGCGCCCAGAACUCUGAGCCCAGGGUGAAGCAGGGGUCUCCACAACUAAACUGGGGCCCCAGUCCUAGGCUGUGGGGGAGAACUAUAUCCAAAAUUCUACUUCAAAAUCUAAGAAACCUAGAUCACAAUACAAGUUGUUAAUGAAAAUAAGCUUUAUUACAUCAAGUAAUAAAUACAUACAAAGAUGCAAA